AGAAUCAACGCUGGCGGCGUGCCUAAUACAUGCAAGUCGAACGCCAAAGCCCCGCAAGGGGCAAGUAGCGUGGCAAACGGGUGAGUAACGCGUGGGCGACCUGCCUUCGAGUGGGGGACAACCUUCCGAAAGGAGGGCUAAUACCGCAUGAUAUGCCGUGUUUGGAUACACGGACAUCAAAGCUGGGGAUCGCAAGACCUGGCGCUUGAAGAGGGGCCUACGUCCGAUUAGCUAGUUGGUGGGGUAACGGCCUACCAAGGCGACGAUCGGUA
rnacentral:rRNA from 1 species